ACACGACUACAUUAGAUACCCCCGUAGUCCUAGCCGUAAACGAUACUCGCUAGGUGUCGGCCACGGUGCGACCGUUGUCGGUGCCGUAGGGAAGCCGUGAAGCGAGCCACCUGGGAAGUACGGCCGCAAGGCUGAAACUUAAAGGAAUUGGCGGGGGAGCACCGCAACGGGAGGAGCGUGCGGUUCAAUUGGAUUCAACGCCGAAAAACUCACCAGGAGCGACGGAUAUAUGAAGGUCAAGCUGAUGACUUUACCUGAUUUUCCG
rnacentral:rRNA from 1 species